GCAACCAGAACUGCAACAGGAACUAUUACCUGAGAAGCUGAAGUAUCCUGGCUGGAGGAUUUUCUGUUACAAUGGCAAUUUGUUUCCUACACUGGAUUUCCCCUUUUCUGGCCAACUGUGGCAGUGCUGGAACUGCUGAUGAUUUGCACAUUAUCUUGGCCUGA
rnacentral:lncRNA from 1 species